rnacentral:rRNA from 1 species
GUUAGAAGUGGAAGUGUGGCGACACAUGUA